rnacentral:lncRNA from 1 species
GUCUGUGAGCAGUGGGGACUUGCGUCCAAUGGGGAUUGCCUUGGGAGGGCACCGUGGCACUGGCGAGCUAGGGGCUGCACUGAGCCGCCUGGCACUCCGGCCUGAGCCACCCACUUUGAGACGUAGUACUUCUCUCCGGCGUCUUGGGGGUUUCCCUGGACCCCCUACCCUGCUCAGCAUACGGACAGAGCCCCCUCCUUCCCAUGGCUCCUUCCACAUGAUAUCUGCCCGGCCUUCUGAGCCUUUCUACUCUGAUGACAAGAUGGUGAGCUGCAGUGCUUCCUGAACGCCGUGUUACAGUGUUUGAGCAGCACAAGGCCUCUUCGAGACUUUUGUCUGCGAAGGGACUUCCGGCAAGAGGUGCCCGGAGGAGGCCGAGCCCAGGAACUCACAGAAGCCUUUGCAGAUGUGAUUGGUGCCCUCUGGCACCCUGACUCCUGUGAAGCUGUGAAUCCUACCCGAUUCCGGGCUGUCUUCCAGAAAUACGUCCCUUCCUUCUCUGGAUACAG